rnacentral:rRNA from 1 species
UACGAAGGGGGCUAGCGUUGCUCGGAGUCACUGGGCGUAAAGGGCGCGUAGGCGGACUUUUAAGUCGGAGGUGAAAGCCCAGGGCUCAACCCUGGAAUUGCCUUCGAUACUGGGAGUCUUGAGUUCGGAAGAGGUUGGUGGAACUGCGAGUGUAGAGGUGAAAUUCGUAGAUAUUCGCAAGAACACCGGUGGCGAAGGCGGCCAACUGGUCCGAUACUGACGCUGAGGCGCGAAAGCGUGGGGAGCAAACAGG